GUUCUUGCUUCACUUAAUUCCCCACAUUCUUUUCUCUUGUCAUUUUGGCUGGAAUAUUUUAAAGCAAAUAUCAUCCUGGUGUUGAACUCUUAACUAUUUCAGUUUGAAUCGCUAGAAGACAAGAAAACUGAGGGUCAUGAAGAGACAACUUCCUCAUGGAUACACACCUACUAAGCAGCAGCGCCUGCAUGGAAAGUUUCCUCAUCUGUAAAAUGAAGAUGAUAAUGGACUGAGAAGCAAUAAACCAGAUGCAAAAGGACUGAUAUUGCCUGAUUUCAUUUAUGGAGUAACUCAGGCUAGCAGAUUCAGAGAGACAGAAGGUAGAAUGGAGGCUACCAGGAGCUGGAGUGGAGGGGAAGUUGGGGAGUCGCUGCUCAGUGAGCACAGAGGUUCUACAGGGAAUGUCGAGCGGUUCUGGAGAGGUGUGGCGAUGAUGGCUGCAUGAUGAUGGGAU
ensembl:lncRNA